GUCCCUGUAGCGCAAGGAACAGCGCGUUGGACUUCUAACCCAAAGAUCAUGGGUUCGAAUCCCAUCUGGUAUG